rnacentral:sRNA from 1 species
CCUCCUGUUGGGGAGUAGCUUCCGGCUUCAGCGUCGGGAUCGUGUCAACAUACUCGCGUUUCGACGCGUGGCGCGAUCAGCGGACCAUCACCGCCUAGCGAGACCAGCGCGUUCCACCGCCGCACCGGCCGGAGUGGAACCGCU